rnacentral:rRNA from 1 species
UACGGGGGGAGCAAGCGUUGUUCGGAUUUACUGGGCGUAAAGGGCGCGUAGGCGGCGCAACAAGUCACUUGUGAAAUCUCCGGGCUUAACCCGGAGCGGCCAAGUGAUACUGUCGUGCUAGAGUGCGGAAGGGGCUACUGGAAUUCUCGGUGUAGCGGUGAAAUGCAUAGAUAUCGAGAGGAACACCUGCGGCGAAGGCGGGUAGCUGGGCCGACACUGACGCUGAGGCGCGAAAGCCAGGGGAGCGAACGGG